rnacentral:rRNA from 1 species
GACGAACGCUGGCGGCGUGCUUAACACAUGCAAGUCGAACGGAAAGGCCCGGCUUUGGUGUUUUGCGCGGGUGGCGGACGGGUAAGUAACACGUAAGUAACCUUCCCUGGGCUUUAGGAUAACUUCAGGGAACUUAAUCUAAUGCCGGAUGGGAGCUCCUACUACAUAGUGGGUGUUGGAAGGGUUCGGCUGUUGUGGAUGGACUCGCGGCUUAUCAGCUUGUUGGUGGGGUAGUGGCUUACCAAGGCUUUGAGGGGCAGCAGGCCUGAGAGGGUGACCGGCAACAUCGGGAAGGCUAUAAGGCCCAGCAUACUCCGGGAGGCAGCAGUGGGGAAUAUUGUACCACGGGGGGAAGAAUCAUGAAGCAACGACGCGUGGGGGAUGAAGGCCUUCGGGGUGUAAACAGCUUCCGCUUGUGAAGAAGCGGGAGUGACGGUAACGGGUAAAGAAGCACCGGCUAACUCCGUG